rnacentral:rRNA from 1 species
UACGGAGGAUGCAAGCGUUAUCCGGAAUGAUUGGGCGUAAAGGGUCCUGAGGUGGCUGGCUUAGUCUACUGUGAAAGAUCAGGGCUUAACCCUGAACAGGCGGUGGAAACUAGCAAGCUAGAGUACGGUAGGGGCGGAGGGAAUUCUCGGUGGAGCGGUGGAAUGCGCAGAUAUCAGGAGGAACACCGGUGGCGAAGGCGGGUCGUCUGGGCAGUAACUGACGCUGAGGAGCGAAAGCGUGGGGAGCGAACAGG